UGCAUGUCACUAGGGUCUCCGCUUUCAAACUCAGAACAACCUCUUAUUGUCUCCUAAGCACAUUUUCCCCCCUCAGAGCCUGUGUGUUCAUUGGACCGUGGAAAGAACCUUCCAGAGCCCAGCGCAUUUCCUGAGACUGCCAGCCUGGAAGGAGCUGGGGAAGGAGAUGGGUGCCAGGGGAAGAAACGGAGAUCACACUCAGAAGGAUUCAGCAACUCAGGUAUGGGGAAGUCAGGUGCGGCCUUUGGAGAAGAAUUACACCCUCCAAAGCCAAGCUGAUGACGCUGCCGUAGACUUGUGGGAGCUGCAGACGACGGGAGAACGAUCCCAAGAGAACAGCUCGUCUGGGGUCAGGAUGCGUGAGCGGGUGCGGCUUCCCAACACGGAACCACAGUCAGGCUGGUAGCCCGGGGGCGUCUGGGGGACCCCACCCCGGCCUCCAAACCACAGAGCCUCUGGCGGCAAUCCAGAGCGGCAGCGAGGGAGGUUGCAAAGAUGGAUGACCUGACUCGCGAAGGGGCACCCUGCCUGGUCCCUGGCACGGAUGCGGCUGGUGAUAGGCAGUAAGAGAAGCAGAAGGAAGAAAGUUUGAAAUUCAGUUCUCAUUCUCAGAAUGCACACGCAGUGGGGAUGUUCGUGUACCACUCACACUGUGCGUCAGAUGGAACCAAGGCGGGGCCUCUCCCCCUCUGGGUGCUACAAGCACCGGCAGGCUGAAGCUGGGGGACCUUGAAGGACAGGGGGGCUUAAAGAGCCAAAGGGAAGGGUCUUCCUCUUCCACCCCUCACCCCAGGGGGAAUAGUCUGACAAAGCCUCGGAAGGAGGGGUGAAUAGAGCCACUCCAGGAUGCGUUGAGCGGACUAGCCAGCCGGCUCACGCACACACCCAGGCACGUCCUUGCAAACAGGUCCGCACUGACUGAGGUGAUGGCCAUGAACACGAUCAUGUCCAAAAUCAAGCUUCUCGCACAGUCAUAAAGUAAUUAACAAGAACUGGGUGCAGCACAGCCUCCGGUGCGCACGGCUGCUGACCACCCUCUCUACUCCUUGUCCACCCUCGUCUGCUCAUCCGAAUGCCCGGUUCCACCCGGAGACCUGGAUACGACAGGUCUGGAGCAGAAUCCAGGCUUCUGUAUUUUUAUACAGGCUCCAGGGAUGCGGCUGGAGGAGAGCCCUCCACGCAUCCCAGCAGGCACCCAGUCAGGACCUGAGAGUUUCUGCUUCGGGAGCACGUUGGUAACACCCCUGGAAAGAUGAGGCAUUGAGAGAGGAGGCCACACCACUCCGGUAUGCCUACAGACGGCUACAGCCACAGGGAGCAAGACGGGUCAGAAAAAUCCUAGGACGCGAGAGAGAGAAGAAGAGAUGGCUGUGCAUUGAGGCAUCGCUCAGCAGGAAUAAGAUGGCACUCUUAAGAGAGGAUCAUUCCAGAAGAUCUGUGGGCAGCAUGAGGGGAACUCCAGGGGUGGUACAGGAACAUGGCAACAGCACCCCUUACCACCCCGAGUGCAGUUACCGUACCUCAAGGGAGCCUCAUGUGGUCAGCUGAGGCCACCUUGAGAGGAACAGGAACCUGGGGUCAAGGGGCAAUUCGAGCCUGAGGUGUCCUCACAAGGAGCGAGCUAGGGCU